GCAUUUGGAGAGCCAUGCGAAAGAAAGAGAGAGCAAGUUCAAUACUGCGCAGUUAUCUUAAAUAGUCUACCUUAUGUUCUUCAGUUAAAUGUACCAUGCCAUUUUAGGUGCGUACAUUUUGGCAAUUGAGUCAAGAACGUCGAGAGACCAACACGGAAAAGUUUUAAAAGUAAUCAUGAACGUGAAAGUGAAAAUGUGUGAAACUCCGGAUAGGUUGCUAAACCUGCUGAAAGAGUUUCAACUUGAAAAAGUGCGCGACUAUCUAAUCGAUUGAAAUUGACAUUCAAAUGCUCUAUCCUGGCAAAGGUCAUUUGCUUUUGUCGAAGUGGGAAGAAUUCAAAGUCAAAAUUUUGACUCAUUACUCAACCCACCUUCGUAACGACUUUUGUAAACAACAACUGGCAGUAGCAAAGUCGUCUACAAAUAAAGAUCUCCAAGACUUCCUUGUAUCGAUAUUAUUAAAUGGUGUUUUGCCUUGUGGUUCGCGCUUUAAAAAUAGCGAAAACUGCAAAACUACAAAAAAAACGGAUGAUUGCGGAUUCCCAGGAGUCUUUCGUACUUCAAAUACGUACUUCUUUCGUACCCUGAACAAUAUACGCCCUAAGAUAGACGAACUAGUGAAUAAGUUCUAUUUAAAAAAGAAUCCUUGCAGCCAUUUCUUAUAAUAGAAGGCAAUACUUAUGAUGUAAAGGCAUUUUUUGUUUUUUGUGACCAAAAUUUGCUUAAGUUUGAUUCGUUUAUACAAAGCCUUGAUGUGUGCUUUAAAAUUUUUCAGCUACUUAACUUAGAAUACCCAAAAGCUUGUGAACAAAUAUGGUUGUUUAUUAUUAUUAAACAAAGAAAAAACAUAUGUAAGAGUUAAAAGUCUUUAAAUAUAUUUAGUAUUCUUAUUCACAUUGUACUUUAAGUAAUAAAUAAUUAUAUAUAAGCCUAUAACUAAACUUAAAAAUAAAACC